UCCGUAGGGUGCGAUCGUUAAUCGGAAUUACUGGGCGUAAAGCGUGCGCAGGCGGUUUCUUAAGCCAGAUGUGAAAGCCCCGGGCUUAACCUGGGAAUUGCGUUUGGAACUGGGAGACUAGAGUGUGGCAGAGGGAGGUAGAAUUCCACGUGUAGCAGUGAAAUGCGUAGAGAUGUGGAGGAAUACCGAUGGCGAAGGCAGCCUCCUGGGCCAACACUGACGCUCAUGCACGAAAGCGUGGGGAGAAAACAGG
rnacentral:rRNA from 1 species